rnacentral:rRNA from 1 species
GAUGAACGCUGGCGGCGUGCCUAAUACAUGCAAGUCGAGCGAACGGACGAGAAGCUUGCUUCUCUGAUGUUAGCGGCGGACGGGUGAGUAACACGUGGAUAACCUACCUAUAAGACUGGGAUAACUUCGGGAAACCGGAGCUAAUACCGGAUGAUAUUUUGAACCGCAUGGUUCAAAAGUGAAAGACGGUCUUGCUGUCACUUAUAGAUGGAUCCGCGCUGCAUUAGCUAGUUGGUAAGGUAACGGCUUACCAAGGCAACGAUGCAUAGCCGACCUGAGAGGGUGAUCGGCCACACGGGAACUGAAACACGGUCCAGGCUCCUACGGGAGGCAGCAGAAGGGAAUCUUCCGCAAUGGGCGAAAGCCUGACGGAGCAACGCCGCGUGAGUGAUGAAGGUCUUCGGAUCGUAAAACUCUGUUAUUAGGGAAGAACAUAUGUGUAAGUAACUGUGCACAUCUUGACGGUACCUAAUCAGAAAGCCACGGCUAACUACGUG